CAAAGCCGCGAGGCGGAGCGAAUCCCAAAAGGCGUCUCAGUUCGGAUUGCAGGCUGCAACUCGCCUGUAUGAAGUCGGAAUUGCUAGUAAUCGUGGAUCAGCAUGCCACGGUGAAUACGUUCCCGGGCCUUGUACACGCCGCCCGUCACACCAUGGGAGUCGGUAACACCCGAAGUCGGUAGCCUAACCGUAAGGAGGGCGCCGCCGAAGGUGGGAUUGAUGACUGGGGUGAAGUCGUAACAAGGUAUC
rnacentral:rRNA from 1 species